rnacentral:rRNA from 1 species
AUGUCAUACCCUGUAGAUGCACCAACAUACAUACCGAAAACCUUGUUUGUGAAGUACUUGGAUGACUAUGUUGAGCGUUUCAACAUUCAACCAAAGUAUCUCACCAGCGUGGAGUCAUCCACAUAUGACAAUGAUGAAAAAUGUUGGUCCAUUGUGGCAAAGGACAUGUCAAAGUGCACCAGAGUCAAGUUCAUGGUGAAGUUUCUUGUUGUGGCAAGUGGUGAGAAUAGUGCAGAGAAUAUUCCAAUGUUCCCUGGACUGGAAAACUUUCCAGGUGAUGUUAUCCACUCCUCAAGCUACAAGUCAGGCAAGAGCUACUCUGGCAAGAAUGUAUGGGUCAUUGGAUCUGGAAACUCCGGGAUGGAAAUUGCUUAUGACCUUGCGACCCAUGGUGCCAACACAUCGAUCGUUAUACGAAGCCCGAUUCAUGUAAUGACAAAGGAAUUAAUUCGUUUG